rnacentral:rRNA from 1 species
UACGGAGGGUGCAAGCGUUGCUCGGAAUUAUUGGGCGUAAAGGGUAGGUAGGUGGUCUCAUUUGUCUGGGGUGAAAGCCUUGAGCUUAACUCAAGAAGUGCCUCAGAAACGGUGAGACUAGAGUUCUGGAGAGGGUCGUGGAAUUCCCGGUGUAGCGGUGAAAUGCGUAGAGAUCCGGAGGAACACCAGUGGCGAAGGCGCUUCUGGGUCCGCCCUGACGCUGAGGCGCGAAAGCGUGGGGAGCAAACAGG